UAGUGUUACAGCUCUUUUAGAAUUUGUCUAGUGGGGCUUUUGGUUUUUGCUGGAAAGUCCCCU
ensembl:snRNA U7 U7 small nuclear RNA